GGGGCUGACUGGUUUUGACAGCGGGUAGAAGAGGUAUGUAAGCAUGUCGAGCUUUGGUUGUUGGCUCGAAAAUCUUAAUGAUCAAACUUUUAAUUGGCGAAAACAAUUACGCUCUUGCUGCGUAACCGAAUCACAGUAGGUUAACUGCUUAAUCCCGGCACAAGGUGCUGGGACAGGACAUCGCCCGGAUGCUAUUGCCUUGAGGCUAUCCGGUUCGGCGGUGCAAAAAAUCGAGGCUAGUUAAGUGCUCGCUUCGCGCACUAAGCGAAACUUUAGAAGAUAAGGUAGUGGUCGGUGGCCUUGAUCCAGCUACUACUCGAAAAUUAAGUCGGGGCUAAACAUGUAGAAAGCAUAUGGCUUCCUCGUUUGGACCGGGGUUCGAUUCCCCGCAGC
rnacentral:tmRNA from 1 species